GUCGAGCUACAAAAAGGCUCACCGGCGAAUAACAUGGCCAACAAAGGCAUGAAAGAACGAUGUUACUGCAUAGUCUCGGGGGCUGGAGAGAGCUGAUCUGAAGUCCGAA
rnacentral:rRNA from 1 species